UACGUAGGGUGCAAGCGUUUCCGGAAUUAUUGGGCGUAAAGAGCUCGUAGGCGGUUUGUCGCGUCGGCCGUGAAAUCUCCACGCUUAACGUGGAGCGUGCGGUCGAUACGGGCAGACUUGAGUUCGGUAGGGGAGACUGGAAUUCCUGGUGUAGCGGUGAAAUGCGCAGAUAUCAGGAGGAACACCGGUGGCGAAGGCGGGUCUCUGGGCCGAUACUGACGCUGAGGAGCGAAAGCGUGGGGAGCGAACAGG
rnacentral:rRNA from 1 species